UUUGAGGUCUGACCUGCCCAAUGAAAUUUAAAUGGCCGCAGUAUUUUGACUGUGCAAAGGUAGCAUAAUCAUUAGUUUUUUAAUUGAAAGCUGGAAUGAAUGGUUUGAUGAAAAAAGAGCUGUCUCAGGACAAAUGGUUUAGAAUUUUAUUUUUAAGUUAAAAAGCUUAGAUUUUUUAAAAAGACGAGAAGACCCUAUAGAGUUUGAUAUUUUAAUUUUAAAAUCAAUGGUGGGGGCUUUUAUGGUUUUUUAAUUAUAGUGUUUCGUUGGGGUGACGAAAAAAUUUGGUUAACUUUUUUUAGUACAAACAUAAAUUAAUGAAUCUAUGAUCCUAUAUUUUGGAUUUUUAGAAAAAAUUACCUUAGGGAUAACAGCGUAAUUUUUCUUGAGAGUUCUUAUCGAAAGAAGAGAUUGCGACCUCGAUGUUGGAUUAAAGUUAAUUUUUGGUGCAGAAGCUGAAAUAUUAGGUCUGUUCGACCUUUGAAACUUUACAUGAUCUGAGUUUAGACCGGCGUGAGCCAGGUUGGUUUCUAUCUUUUAGGAAUAAGAAUGCCUUAGUACGAAAGGACCAGGUAUUUAAAUAAUAUUUUAUUUUUGAAUUUUAUUGUUAUCUUGGCAGAUUAGUGCGGUAAAUUUAGAAUUUAAAUAUGUAAGGGCUUACAGAUAACAUUGAUUAUUAAGGAUCUUGUUUUGGCUUGAGUCUCCAUGCUGUUAUUAGUUGUUUUUGUUUUAGUUGGGGUGGCCUUUUUG
rnacentral:rRNA from 1 species